AGUUGAGAGCUUGCUUUUUAAGUAGUGGCGAACGGGUGAGUAACGCGUGAGUACCUGCCCUAGAGUGGGGGACAACAGUUGGAAACGACUGCUAAUACCGCAUAAGGCCGCAUGACAAAAGAUUUAUCGCUUUAGGAUGGACUCGCGUCCAAUUAGCUAGUUGGUGAGGUAACGGCCCACCAAGGCGACGAUUGGUAGCCGGACUGAGAGGUUGAACGGCCACAUUGGGACUGAGACACGGCCCAGACUCCUACGGGAGGCAGCAGUGGGGGAUAUUGCACAAUGGGGGAAACCCUGAUGCAGCGACGCCGCGUGGAGGAAGAAGGUUUUCGGAUUGUAAACUCCUGUCGUUAGGGACGAUAAUGACGGUACCUAACAAGAAAGCACCGGCUAACUACGUGCCAGCAGCCGCGGUAAAACGUAGGGUGCAAGCGUUGUCCGGAAUUACUGGGUGUAAAGGGAGCGCAGGCGGGAAGACAAGUUGGAAGUGAAAACCAUGGGCUCAACCCAUGAAUUGCUUUCAAAACUGUUUUUCUUGAGUAGUGCAGAGGUAGAUGGAAUUCCCGGUGUAGCGGUGGAAUGCGUAGAUAUCGGGAGGAACACCAGUGGCGAAGGCGGUCUACUGGGCACCAACUGACGCUGAGGCUCGAAAGCAUGGGUAGCAAACAGGAUUAGAUACCCUGGUAGUCCAUGCCGUANACGAUGAUUACUAGGU
rnacentral:rRNA from 1 species